UAUUAGGGCCUAAAUAUCCUGAAGGCUCCAGAUCUUGUCCGAUCUUGGAAGUUAAGUAGAGUCAACUUUGAUUAGUACUUAGAUGAGAGGCUGUCAAUGAAUACCAAAUGUUAUAGGCU
rnacentral:rRNA from 1 species